CCUACGGGUUGCACCAGUGGGAAUAUUGCACAAUGGGCGCAAGCCUGAUGCAGCCAUGCCGCGUGUGUGAAGAAGGCCUUCGGGUUGUAAAGUACUUUCAGCGAGGAGGAAGGUGGUGAGCUUAAUACGCUCAUCAAUUGACGUUACUCGCAGAAGAAGCACCGGCUAACUCCGUGCCAACAGCCGCGGUAAUACGGAGGGUGCAAGCGUUAAUCGGAAUUACUGGGCGUAAAGCGCACGCAGGCGGUUUGUUAAGUCAGAUGUGAGAUCCCCGGGCUCAACCUGGGAACUGCAUUUGAAACUGGCAAGCUAGAGUCUCGUAGAGGGGGGUAGUAUUCCAGGUGUAGCGGUGAAAUGCGUAGAGAUCUGGAGGAAUACCGGUGGCGAAGGCGGCCCCCUGGACGAGGACUGACGCUCAGGUGCGAAAGCGUGGGGAGCAAACAGGAUUAGAUACCCUUGUAGUC
rnacentral:rRNA from 1 species